GACGAACCGUGCGAACGUUAUUCGGAAUCACUGGGCUUAAAGGGCGCGUAGGCGGGUCGGUAAGUCAGGGGUGAAAUCCCACGGCCCAACCGUGGAAGUGCCUCUGAUACUGCCGGCCUCGAGGGGGAUAGGGGCGUGCGGAACUCAGGGCGGAGCGGUGAAAUGCGUAGAUAUCCCGAGGAACACCGGUGGCGAAGGCGGCUUCCUGGACCGACACUGACGCUGAGGCGCGAAAGCUAGGGGAGCAAACGGG
rnacentral:rRNA from 1 species